CGGGUGAGUAACACGUGGAUAACCUACCUAUAAGACUGGGAUAACUUCGGGAAGCCGGAGCUAAUACCGGAUAAUAUAUUGAACCGCAUGGUUCAAUAGUGAAAGACGGUUUUGCUGUCACUUAUAGAUGGAUCCGCGCUGCAUUAGCUAGUUGGUAAGGUAACGGCUUACCAAGGCAACGAUGCGUAGCCGACCUGAGAGGGUGAUCGGCCACACUGGAACUGAGACACGGUCCAGACUCCUACGGGAGGCAGCAGUC
rnacentral:rRNA from 1 species